AUUGUUAUGACCGGUUCGAUCUAUCUAAACAAUGCUGCCUGUUUCGGUCUGUGCAAUAUAAUAUUGAUUUGUUCCUCAGCUCUCUCCGAAUGAAUAGUCAUGCUGUAGGACGUGUAGUAUCACAACUUCAACUGUUUCUGUGUUUCUUUCGUUUGAGACUCUACCGUUUUGUGGGAACGAAUUUACCACUAGGCCUAUUUAUUCUUUUUAUCUUGUGAAAGAUGCAGGAGCAGAUAUGAGGCUAGUAAAGGAGUUCUUCCCAUUACCAAUCAAGUGUUUGUUUUAGCCAAGAAGAAUCAACAGAAAAAAAUAUGGGUGGCAAGAAGGGAUUCAGUCGCAGUGCCAAAGCUCUACCAAGAGGCAGGAGUCGAAGCAAGAGCCCUGGUAAGAAAGGGGGUAAAAAGAAGUCUCGCUCUGCUUCACCCACCCCUAAAAAACCUGUAGACCUCAUGAGUCCAGCUGCAAUGACCAAUGCAUAUUACAUCGCUCAUGGUCCCGUAGACUUUCUAGAUAUCAGGGGAUUUGGCUGGCCGAAUGCCCCUAAAGGGAAGAAAAAGAAGGGGAAGGGUAAGAAAAAAAAGAAGUGAUUGGCUGUUUGAAAUGAGGCUAUCAGCAUAAAGUUUAUAAUGAAUAUAGUAGUAAACGUUAAAGUUAAAGAGUCAAUGGCUCGUAUUCUGAAGUCAAGUUUAACUUACAUGUAGGAUAUGGUCUAAUUCUGUGUUAAAAUCAUGGGAUGCCAAAAAUGUCAAAUUUUGUUUACGUGGUGCGUUUCUUUUCAUUAUUGUGCUCUUUCCCUAUGUUUCACUCAUAAAGAAAACUAUUAUUAAUAGUAUGAAUUGAGAACCAAUGGGUCUGACAAAUUCAACCCCUAUUGUUUUAGUGAUUUGCGUCACAAUUGGCUUUCCAUAUUUAAACCAAAAAUUUAAACCAGAGUUUAAAUCAAACCUGAGUUCAGAAUACAAGCCAAUGUGGCUGCCAGAAUGUGCUUUUCAUAAUUAAGAUACAUGUAUAUGUGUUGAUAGAAUAAGAAGACUAUAAUAUACCUUCACUCAGGAUAUUCAGUGACUGAGUUUGCAUAGUACUAUAUGUGUAAAAUUUGCAAUUGAUACUAAGGAGAGUAUGAAGGAUGUCAAACUGCCUGAGUUUAGCAGUAGUGAAUGAUUUCCAUUUAGGUGCUGAUCUUGUGUCACAGUUUUCUAUUGAACAAGAAGUUUGGUUAUUUGCAAAACUUGAACAAUGAAGAACAAUUUUUACUUACACUGUAAAGAGCAUUUUGUACAAGUUUAAAUAAUUGUCCAUCCUUUUCAACAAUCAAUCUGCAGUCUAUGUUGAGUCAAAUAGUUUUUGUCUUAAUGUUGGUAAGGUCUAAUUUUACCCAACAUUUGCUAAAGAUUGCCCAUUCAGUUAAUAUGCAUGUUGAUUUGCUUUAUCUUUACUGCAUAAAUUGACGAACAACAUUAGCUUUAUCAGUUUACAACAUAUUCUCUUUGCUGUCCAGGCUAGAAAGGCCAAAGACGUGUUGUUUAUUUCAUGUUACGUAAUGACAAAUACUAGGUAGAUAUCUGAAAUGUAUUCAUAUUGAAUAUUGUUUAUUUUUACCUAUUCAAUUGUUUAAAUCGGCUAAACCAAUUUGCAAUGGGUAAAUUAAACAUCUUGCCUGACAUGGAUGUGUGCAUUAUGUCAGUUGAUCAAUGUUCAAAGCUUUGAUAAUUAUAUUAGAUUGAAGAUAUAAUGAUAUGAAUUCCUGAUGUAUUCACCAUUGUUUUUAGUUUAUUGUAAAUGGAAAUAAAAUGUACUUGUGUUUUACUAAAUUAUGCAUUUCUAUUAUUGUAAUGGUUUGGUUCAUAUACUUUGUAUGACUAAAAUAUUGCUUUUGGCUCUUUGAAUUUUUUCACUCCGUUUUUGUAGGUAAUAAACUUAUUUUUUAUUAAAUCAGUGAAUGAUAAUGCCCUGGAAUUCUUCAAAAAAUAUUUAAAGUCAAGAUAUAUGCCUCUACUUUUAGUUUCAUAAUUGAUGUUAGACCUUACACCAGUCUUAAAACGAUUUGCUAUUUUGAAUGCAUGUAAUAGGCCUAUGCAUUAACUUCCAUGAUAGUUGCAUGAUACACCAUUUUUAUUAUUCCACAUGCUUAUCAACCAUGUGAAUUGUGAGCAAAAUGCAGGCCAAUAUGUUAAUGUGAAAUAUUUUUUUUUUAAUAAUGUUGUUAUACACUAGUCUGAACAUAGGCCUGUUCCCACUAUUUAGUUCAUGCAUGAUAAUUAGGAAUCAAUUGUAAAAUCAAAAUACGCUGCUAAGCCAACACAAGACUCAUGGAUAAAUAUGCCAAAUAUGUGGUUUUCAUGUGUUAUACCAAGAGAUAUUGUCAUGACUAUAUAAUGUGUGUGCUUUUAUAUAAUGAAAUAAAGGAAAGUAAUAUGAA
rnacentral:lncRNA from 1 species